rnacentral:rRNA from 1 species
GGGUCAGUAGGUUGGUCGUGCCACCGGUACGUACUGGUCUCACUGAUUCCUCCCUCCUGAAGAACCGUAAUGCCAUUAAUUUGGUGUUGCGGGGAAACAGGACUGUUACUUUGAAAAAAUUAGAGUGUUUAAAGCAGGCUAACGCUUGAAUACAUUAGCAUGGAAUAAUGAAAUAGGACGAUCGAUCCUAUUUUGUUGGUUUCUAGGAUUGACGUA